UGGGGCCAUGCCUGGCUGUUUGAGGAAGCACAGCCUCCCCCAGCCUAUGUUACCUGCUGCCCAUGCCCACCUCAGGACACAGGGCU